UACGAAGGGGGCUAGCGUUGCUCGGAAUCACUGGGCGUAAAGGGCGCGUAGGCGGCCGUUCAAGUCGGGGGUGAAAGCCUGUUGCUCAACCACAGAAUGGCCCUCGAUACUGGAUGGCUCGAGACCGGAAGAGGUUGGUGGAACUGCGAGUGUAGAGGUGAAAUUCGUAGAUAUUCGCAAGAACACCAGUGGCGAAGGCGGCCAACUGGUCCGGUUCUGACGCUGAGGCGCGAAAGCGUGGGGAGCAAACAGG
rnacentral:rRNA from 1 species